GGCCGGGCUAUAUAAGCUGCGGCCGGGCGCGCGGCUCGUUCUUUUUCCGGGAGGGCCGCGCCUGCGCCCCGCGGGCAUGGCCAAGGCAUGGUCGGUUGGGCCCCGUGGGUCACGUAUCGUCUUGGAGCACGAAAGACAGCCAUGUUCUUUUGGAGAUGACGAGGUGACUAUGAAAGCCUCGGAGGUGGAAGAGUAUGCCCUGCACGGUAGUCUCAAAUUCGAGGAUACCUGAGAACAGGUUUGGGAAGUGGCGCCCAAAAUCUGAGCAAUAGCAACCCACGGUACUAAGGAGGACGCCCCCCCAAUUGAGUGAAAUUGGAGGUGCAAGUGGAUGAGACUAAAUGGCUGUGAAUCGUUACAUCGGCAUCAUGACUGGAUGGCGACUGGAAAUAAGGCAUCUGAAGUGAAGCUUUUAUGCUGUUGUGGGAAUGCCUAGACAGUGUAAUGAUUUUGUGGGAUUACCAUGUGGGCUCAACUGCUGCUGCAGUUCUGAAGCUCCUUGAAAGAUGAAAGCUAUCGUCUGUGAUUGCUCUGAAAGUCUGACGCUUUGUUCUGCAUCUAGGGAUAAUGUGUGGCAUGCGCCAUCUAUUUGGGAGUGUUUGUAUUUCUUACUAUGUAUUCAGAGUACUUUGAAGGGGAAAAGCAGUAACAGGAUUCCCUGAAAAGGGUGAGAUCUAUUAGUACCUUACCCAGACCUGAAUGGUGAUUUGCUGUUGAAUAAAGUUAAGGUGAGCACCCAGA